UGUUAAAAAUUUCAUCCAUUUGUAUUAUAAAAAUUGGCGUGGCUAACAAAAUAAAUAUAUCUCAUGUUGAUGUAUAUAGACAAUUUUUUUACAAUAGAAAUGGAUGAAAUAUUUAGCA
rfam:Gossypium raimondii Chr10_contig_16, whole genome shotgun sequence.